UACGUAGGUGACAAGCGUUGUCCGGAUUUAUUGGGCGUAAAGAGCGUGUAGGCGGCUUUGCAAGUCCGUUGUGAAAACUCGAGCUCAACCUCGAGACGCCGGUGGAAACUGACAAAGCUAGAGUCCGGAAGAGGAGAGUGGAAUUCCUGGUGUAGCGGUGAAAUGCGCAGAUAUCAGGAGGAACACCGAUGGCGAAGGCAGCUCGCUGGGACGGUGACUGACGCUGAGACGCGAAAGCGUGGGGAGCAAACAGG
rnacentral:rRNA from 1 species